rnacentral:rRNA from 1 species
AUUUGACUCAACGCGGGACAACUUACCGGGCCCGACGACCGUAUGAGUGUAACACACGAUAGUUCGAAGAGUGGUGCAUGGCCGUUAACGACGAGUGGAGUGAUCUUUGGGUUAAGUCCGUAAAUUAGUGAGACCUCAGCCGUAAGGGACAGGUGCGCAAAGCACAGGAAGGAUGGGUCAAGGACAGGUCAGUGAUGCCCUUAGAUGGUCCGGGCUGCACGCGCACUACAGUGGUCGCCGAAAUAGAUUUAUAGAUUUAAAGGCGAUCGAGAGGGAAUGAGCUUUGUAAGAGGCUCAGGAACGAGGAAUUGCUAGUAAUCGCGGACUCAUUAAGACGCGAUGAAUACGUCCCUGUUCUUUGUACACACCGCCCGUCGUUAUCGAAGAUGAAGACAGGCGCGAACGAUCUACCAGAAAGUGAGCGCAGGUCUUUAGAUCUGAUACAAGUCGUAACAAGGUAGCUGUAGGAGAACCUGUAGCUG